UCAGUCUGACUUCAACAUCUUACGGCUUCAUUACAGCUUUUUCCAUUUCUUACAAGCAGUCGUCAUUAUUGUCAUUGUUUGUUUUUGUUUUUGUUGGAGCGUACGAACGUUUCUGCCGGGGAUUCUUAGCUUUACAGCAUCUUUUAGGAGUCUUUCUACGCAGACGAGCGGAAGCAACUGGGGUCUGAGAGGGAGCAAAAGGUAGCGACCUGAAGACUCAAUGACCUCUGGGUCUUUCCCCCACCCCGCCUGCCCAGUGUUCAGACUACCUGUUCCUCCAGCUACAACUGAACAGUAGUCUGCACAUUGGUUAGGCUAGACUGGGAGCCACACACACCUCAUGAGCACCAAAAUACAGUUCAGGACAUCAACUGAUAACCGUCUUCGCCUUCGUUCGCUCCAUUGUGAUGCUGAAAGAGAAGUUCUUCUCACCUCCUCAUCUUUGUACCAGGACAGGGACUCCGCAGUCAGGACAAACCAGUAUUCCUUGGAGCCUCCUUUCAUGAUGCUGAUGUUGAUGGUUAGCCAGCCUUUCCUAAUCACCUGAAUAAUGAGAGUAUGUGGGAAAGAGAAGGGCCACAGGGAAAGAGGGAUACCAGGAGGAUGGAGGAAAACUGAUUUAACAAAAGUCAAAUUAGGUUGAAAAAGUGGGGCCCCUUUAAGUGCGUUUUUUUUUGAUGAUUUUCUGAUUGAUAAUAAACUCACUUACCUGUGACCUCACAGUAAUUUUGUUGUCUCAAUAAUAAAAGUGUCUGCAAGCCUCCCAUUACUUAGGCCACAGCUGAAAUUUAUACAUUUGUUGAAACAAAAAACUACAAAUAAAAGUUGAAAGCACUUAACAGGG